rnacentral:rRNA from 1 species
UACGUAGGGAGCAAGCGUUGUCCGGAAUCAUUGGGCGAAAAGCGCGCGUAGGCGGCCCCGUAAGUCCGCUGUGAAAGUCAAAGGCUCAACCUUUGAAAGCCGGUGGAUACUGUGGGGCUAGAGUCCGGAAGAGGCGAGUGGAAUUCCUGGUGUAGCGGUGGAAUGCGCAGAUAUCAGGAGGAACACCAAUAGCGAAGGCAGCUCGCUGGGACGGUAUUGACGCUAAGGCGCGAAAGCGUGGGGAGCGAACAGG